GCAGUUCUCCGUUUUCCUCCUCCCUCCAGCCCGCUUUUAAGGUGAGCCUUCUCUAGCUGCUUUGUCCUCUUUUGAUUCCUUUUCUCUCCUCCUCACAUCCUGCAAGGGGGGCAGCAGGGAUGGGAACAGCUAACUUCACAUCAGAAAAGGGAGCAUCAGGAAUUGUCGGGCUUUCAAUGUGCCCACUAUAAACGAAGCAGACAAUACCAGGCAAAAAUAGUGGAACUGACACAUGCAAACAACUGUGUGGACCAAAAAGAGUCUGAAGAAACAGAGGUCCAAUGGAAGGACUAAAACAGGGACUCAUCCAAAAGGAAGAGUGAGGCACCUUAUGUGGAGAAGAGAUUGAUUGUGUCCUUCUACCAGAACAUCUCCCAGAUUCAAGGAUAACCGAACUACUUCCAAAAGUGGUUGCAAUACUUUAAGCAAUGUUUGAGGGUUCCAAUUUCUCCACAUUCUCACCAAUACUCGUUGGAGUCCAUCUUUUUUAUUACAGCCAUCCUGUGGAGGUGAAGUGGUAUCUUAUUGUGGCUUUGAUUUGAAUUUCCCUAAUGACGGAUAAUGCUGGUCAUGUUUUCAUGUAGUUGGUCACUUGCAUAUUUUCUUGGGAAAAUAUAUAUGUUUAGAUACUUUGCCUAUUUUUAAUUGGGUUAUCUGAUUUUGUUUUUAUUAUAGUUUUGUAUAUUCUGGAUACAAGUCCCUUCUAAUUUGCAAAUAUUUUCUCUCAUUAUGUAGAUUGUCUUUUCAACUUCUUGACCGUUUUAUUUAAAAUAUAAAACUUGGGGCACCUGGAUGGCUCAGUUGGUUAAGCUUCCGACUCUUGGUUUG